rnacentral:sRNA from 14 species
GGCUGGUCCAUAGGUAAUGAGUUAUCGCAAUUGAUUGUUCACAGUGAGUUACAGGUUGAUCUCCUAUUCUGUACCCCCCCCUUCUUACUACAUAUGACUGGAGAUAG